AUGAGGUUGAAGUAUUCACUUAGAUGCUUGCAGUUUCUUCUUCAUCAAGGAUUGGCAUUUCGUGGGCAUGAUGAAAGUGAAGAGUCUAGCAAUAGAGGAAACUUCCUUGAGCUAUUGAAGUGGCUUGCAGCAAAUAGUGAGGAGGUGAAUAAGUAUGUUUUGAAGAAUGCACCAGGUAACUGCCAAUUGACAUCUCAUCAGAUACAACAUCAGAUUAUUCAAUGUUGUGCACAACUUACUAGAAAGCAAAUUAUUGAUGAACUUGGUGAUGAGCACUAUGCUAUUCUAGCUGAUGAGUCUAGUGAUGUAUCACAUAAAGAACAACUAGCUUUAUGCUUGCGUUUUGUUGAUAAAGUAGGGAGGCCGUCUGAGCACUUUCUUGGAGUUGUUCAUGUAAGUGACACUACUUCAUUAUCACUUAAGGAAGCAAUUGAAACUUUACUUACUGAUCAUGGUUUGACUAUAACACAAAUUCGUGGGAUGCAUUUUUGCAAAAGGUCACACUAUUCUGUAACAAGCAUGGCAUUCAAGUUCAUAUAA
rnacentral:rRNA from 1 species